UACGUAGGGCGCAAGCGUUAUCCGGAAUUAUUGGGCGUAAAGAGCUCGUAGGCGGUUUGUCGCGUCUGCCCGUGAAAAGUCCGGGGCUCAACUCCGGAUCUGCGGUGGGUACGGGCAGACUAGAGUGAUGUAGGGGGAGACUGGAAUUCCUGGUGUAGCGGUGAAAUGCGCAGAUAUCAGGAGGAACACCGAUGGCGAAGGCAGGUCUCUGGGCAUUAACUGACGCUGAGGAGCGAAAGCAUGGGGAGCGAACAGG
rnacentral:rRNA from 1 species